UUACAUGAACGAUAAAAAUAUUUAAGACUAGUUGUUAGACUCGUUAGGAUACAACAAGAAUAAAAUAGAGAGUUAAAGCUAAGGACUAUCAUGGCAACAGAUUGCAAAAGGUACUGAAGAUUACAGUCUCUUCAAAUUUAUAUUACCUCAAAUACGACCUUUAUAAUAAAGACAUAA